AGUGAACGCUGGCGGUAGGCCUAACACAUGCAAGUCGAACGGCAGCACAGUAAGAGCUUGCUCUUACGGGUGGCGAGUGGCGGACGGGUGAGGAAUACAUCGGAAUCUACUUUUUCGUGGGGAUAACGUAGGGAAACUUACGCUAAUACCGCAUACGACCUACGGGUGAAAGCAUGGGAUCUUCGGACCUUGCGCGAUUGAAUGAGCCGAUGUCGCAUUAGCUAGUUGGCGGGGUAAAGGCCCAACAAGGCGACCAUCCUUAGCUGGUCUGAGAGGAUGAUUAUCCACACUGUAAUUGAGACACGGUCCAGACUCCUACGGGAGGCAGCGGUGAGGAAUAUUGGACAAUGGGCGCAAGCCUGAUCCAGCCAUACCGCGUGGGUGAAGAAGGCCUUCGGGUGGUAAAGCCCUUUUGUUGGGAAAGAAAAGCAGCAGGUUAAUACCCCGCUGUUCUGACGGUACCCAAAGAAUAAGCACCGGCUAACUUCGUG
rnacentral:rRNA from 1 species